rnacentral:rRNA from 1 species
CAUCCUACGGGGGGCAGCAGUGGGGAAUAUUGCACAAUGGGGGAAGCCCUGAUGCAGCGACGCCGCGUGAGUGAAGAAGUAUUUCGGUAUGUAAAGCUCUAUCAGCAGGGAAGAAAAAAGACGGUACCUGACUAAGAAGCCCCGGCUAACUACGUGCCAGCAGCCGCGGUAAUACGUAGGGGGCAAGCGUUAUCCGGAUUUACUGGGUGUAAAGGGAGCGCAGACGGAGAAGCAAGUCUGAAGUGAAAGCCCGUGGCUUAACCACGGAACUGCUUUG